rnacentral:rRNA from 1 species
CACGUAGGGGGCGAGCGUUGUCCGGAUUUAUUGGGCGUAAAGAGCUCGUAGGCGGCUCAGUAAGUCGGGUGUGAAAUUUCAGGGCUCAACCCUGAAACGCCACCCGAUACUGCUGUGGCUAGAGUCCGGUAGGGGAGCGUGGAAUUCCUGGUGUAGCGGUGAAAUGCGCAGAUAUCAGGAGGAACACUAGCGGCGAAGGCGGCGCUCUGGGCCGGAACUGACGCUGAGGAGCGAAAGCAUGGGUAGCGAACAGG